GGUACUAUAAGAACAUGUCAGAAAUUUCUAAUUCAGUAUAACAGAAGACAGCUGCUGAUGUUGUUGCAAAACUGUACAAAUGAAGAGGAAAGACGGUGUGUACAGAAGUCCUUGUUGAGCUGUUCCCUUACAGAAGAGCAGUCUCAAAGUGGAGAUGAGGAAGAUGAUGAUGGCACAGAGACAGACUGAACAUUACUAGUUACUGUUCACCUCUGUCCUGUACUUGUGUAAUCAAGAUGUUACUACCAGUUGUCCUCAGUGUUAAGCAAUGCAGGGGACAGAAAAAGCAUCUGGUCAUAUUUAGACUUCAUUCCCCCAUUCCGAGUGUUCUUAAAUAAAUUUAAAAAAAAACAAAAAUGGUUUUACUUAA